GGGAAGGUAGAUCAGUCAUAGAGCACAUGUUUUUCAUGCAAAAGGUCACAGGUUCAAACCCUGACGUCUCCA